GAGAAAACUUGGGAAGCUUCAAAAAUUGUUCGUGUCUUAAUCUCCUUAAACAUUGCCUGUGUUUUCCAGGGGUUAGACAAUGAACACAACCUUUUUUUCUACUGAACUCACACGCCUGUGAGACCUGUAACCAGAGGGAAUAUCUGACAUGGGAGCAGUUUAUUCCUCAUCAGGAGGUGCAGCAUGCUCUCCUGGCCCAAAGAGGAGUGGAGGGGUUCUGUGUUGGCAUGCGCUAACAUUAGCUUUCCCAGAGGCGGGGCAGGUGCUUCAUGGCUGCGCCUGAGGUGUCGACGGUUCCUCCGCAGAACAGCACCUGACUCCAACUUCACCUCGUAAGACCUGGGAUGCACCUCCUUCACCACCUUUGCGACUUUCCAGACUUUACACGGCUCGGAGGGCUGAACUCUCACACUGUCUCCACCCUUGAGACAAUCCAAGUCCUUGACUGAGCGGUUGUGAUAUCUUUCCUGCCUCAGUCUGUUGCCUUUCAGUCCCUGCUCACAGUCCAUGACCCUUGGUGUCAAGAGGGUAUCUUUUGUUGGCAGUAGGGUCCGAGUCCUACUAAACAGUCCCUGUGCAGGGCUUGUCUCCAGGCCUUGACUGGGUGUGUUACGAUGAUCCAGCAUAGCCAAGUACGGAUCUUGUCCGGCAGCUUCAGCUUUUAGCAUGAGUCGCUUGGCUGUAUUUACGGCGGACUCGGCCAUCCCAUUGCUCUGUGGGUAUCCCGGUGAUGAAGUUCUGUGCACAAACUCCCACCUUAGGUUGAAUCUCUGGAACUCUUCGGACAAAUAUUGUGGCCCAUUGUCUGACACAACCACAUCCGGUAUGCCAUGUCUUGCAAAGUGAGCCGUCAGCUUAUGAAUUACAGUGUCUCUCACUCUAAACGUUCCCCCCCUGCAACAUAUUUUAAUAUGCUGGAGUAUCAACGUAACAAUCAUAUUGUAACAGUCACGAUCGGCUUUUGCCGGAGUAGGACCUCAACGCAGCUCAAUAAUAAUAAUAACAAAAAGCGCACUCAAAAAGGUUGAGGGUGCACGCCAAUGGUGUGGAGAACAUGAUGCACACAAAGCCACAUAAAUGGAAAGCAUGAGUGGAGCCAGGGCAGAGAAGAAGAACAUUGGAAGGGUGAACCAUCAGGAAAUUACUGGCGCCCAGUGAAUCGAGUGAAGAGCUUAAGUAGUCAGGAGGAAAUGGUUAUCAGGUGUGAUCGAAGGUAGCCCGAAGACCAGGCACUGCAACACAGUUGCCACAUCAUGACAAUGGGUAAACUGGAGCCUGUCCUAGCUGACUUCGGGCGAAAGGCAGGGUACACCCUAGACCAGGUGUGUCAAACUCGUUUUCAUUGAGCGCCACAUCGCAGUUAUGGUUGCCCUCAGAGGACCGCUUUUAACAGUGAAUAAUAUACAGUAUGAAUAUAGAUGUGUAUAUAUAAAACGUGUAUAAUUGUCUCUUUUUUUACGUACGCUGUACAAAACCAAAUCUUUAGAUUGUACUAUAUAAAACUGGCAACUCAGUCGCCACAAUUUUACCGUAAUAUUAGCAGGUUGUUGUUUUUUUUACAGCAAAUAAAAUAAACAAAUACAUGGAAAUAAAUUAAAUGGAGUGGUGAAUGUUGUCUAUCUAUCUGUGUUGGCGAAAUAGACAAGCGGUAGAAAAUGGAUGGAUGGAAAACGGUACCACUGUUUUUUUUAAUGUAAAAAUGACGGUUGUUGUGUUUUUUAGUGUAUUAUUACUCUAUACUGAAAGUGGAUUUUACUGUAAAAAAGGUUUACUGUAAAAUUUUUACAUGAACAGUUUGUUGGAUUACUUGCUUUGAAAUCGUAAUUCAAACAGUUAUUUAAGUAUUUGUCUUUAUUUGAACAAUAUUGUUUUGAAAUGUAUGAUGAUAUAAUAUUUUGUUUUAUUAUUAGAGAUGAUUAAAGUGUAAAUAUGUGUAAUUGUACGCUGUUUAUUUUUGUAAUACAUUUAUUAAGAAAAGAUAAGGUACUUUAUUUACAUAUAU